rnacentral:lncRNA from 1 species
UCAUGCUACCUUUGUCUAUUUACUAGCAAGUGUUGGUUUGGAAGUACUCGCCAUACUUCCAUUGGCAUUUAAAUUAAUCAUAGUGCUUAGGUUAAAUAGCCUUCCUUAAUCUGAUUUGACAUGGAGUCUAGUUUGGUUAUUGAACUAAAAAAAACUGCUUGAGUAGAUAUUGGUAUAUUUUGUCGGACUAACCCCUGCAGAAAAACUUUCAAUAUCGAUUUGGGAAGUCCUGAGAUAAACUCACAUCAGAGACGAAGAGAGUGACACAUGAAGUUUAACAAUUUGCACAAGAAGGACAUAGCUCAUUCAUCAUAGAGAGAUGAUCCAUGGAGGGUGCCACAAACACGAUGCACAACCGCUAAGAAAGGAAAGCUUCCACAAGAUGAUACUGUACCAUCACUCUUCAAGCAAGGUACACUACGAGCACAAACACAUUGAGCAAGAUACUGCUAACACCGCACUUCGAACUGCUGGGCAAACGAAGAACAUGGGUGACACCGUAUUAAAAGGUGCAGACGUCAAGGUCCGCAUCUGAAUCAAAUGACGCACCUGAAGAAUGAACACGAUGAGAAGUCUUGACAAGAAGACUUAAAACAUUGAACCCUCGCCGAAAGGUAAGAUUGGUAGUUAUCCAUAUUUAUCCUUUCUGCAUUCACUUUUCCCUUUAAUUAUUUACUUUCCUUAAAUAGAUUAUUAGUUAAUCAUGCUAUCUUGAAAAGGAAAUAAAAAUAUUAAAAAAUACUAAGCCCCAUGUGAGUAUACGAGUGGCAUAAAACCCAUAAGUACCUUCACUGUGGUGGCAUAAAAAUAAAAUAAAUAUUUCUUUUCUGUUUAUAAAAUAAAAAUAUAAAAACAGGGAGUAAUAUUUAUUGAGGAAGCUCAACAUGAUGAAGGAUAGAUAUUUAUGCUAACACUUAAUUAGUUCCACAAGCUUCGUUGUCUUUUUGAGCUCCACAGAAUUUAAGAAUCAAGAAGACUAGCAGACGGAGGACAUUCUAAUCGCUGUCAGAAUGCUGCUGACUUUCAAAUACACCUCUGCCACCUGCUAGCUACAUCAAGAGAAAUUACGUCAAAAUUCAGCUUGGGGGAGAGCACCCCUAUUUAUCUCGCUAAGUAUUUCUACCUAUCUUUAUACUUAUAUUAUAUUAUAAUAUUAAAAUACAUAAACUAUGAAAAACCAAAUAAAUAUUUUAUGCUUAUAUAUAUAUAUAUAUCUUUUCUUAGUUUGCUAAAUAAAUAAAUAAAUAAAUAAAGUUUGCUAUGAAUCUUAAUAAUAAAACUCUAGCAUGGAUAUAAUGAAUAGUUGCUCUGCCUAAUUUGCAAAUUUAAAGUUCUCUCUCAAGUUUAGACAUAACUGUUAUAAUUUAAAGCUUGCUCUAGAUCUAAACUUGUGGGAUGAAAACUUGAUCUGAAAUCUAAGUUGUUAACGGAUAAGAUAUGGGAAGGUUGAGCUGCUGUUUAUCUGUUCCUAGAGAUGCUAGAAUUCUGGAGAAUUUUAUCUUUGAAAAUCUUUAAAAUGUUGCAUGAUGAGUUCCUGUAUGAUGAGAGUUUAAAUUCCUACCACAGCCAUAUAUACAUGCUUGCUAGACUUUGAGCCACACAUUUAUUAUUUACUGCUUAUGAGCAUUGAGUGUGGUCAAGCUGUGUAGACCCUUAGGAGCUUGUCAUGUGGUUAAAUCAAGAUUCACUUGCACGUUCACUUAUAUAUAUGCUAUUUCUACUCCGGAAGUACCAUCCACAUAUAUCCAUCCAUUUCCAUCUCCAGAAUCACCUAAAAAUAUUCUACUCCUAAUUCGGGAGAGAAUAGCCAAAAACAUCUGUGUUUUUCCCUUGUGAAAUAAAUGCUCAAGUUAUCUUGCUACUACCACUUGCUAUAUUAUCUCAAGAGAUGAGUGCUCUAAAAAAAAGGAAAAAAAAAGAAAAGAAAAAAAAUAAACGAGGAAAUAAAAGGGGCAAGUGCCCGGAACCUCGAAAGAAAAUAAAAAGAGUGAGACGAGAGGUAAAAAUGGACAAGUGUCCGACAGUAGAAUUAGGGGUACCGGAUACCCACCUGAGAGAAAAGAAAAGAAAAAGAAGAGCAUCUCAUUCUCCUCAUAAAGUUUCAAAAAGCAAGGAAGGUAUGUAUCCCCUCAAAAGAGCAAAAGUAGAAUUAGACUUUCACCAUUGUUAUCACCAUCAUCACCAUACACUAUUCAUUCGCCACACAUGCACAUCUUGAUUUGGCUUAUUGAUUUGUUUCUUUGGAUCCAUGGUUUGACUAUGCAAUACAUGUCUUGUAAGUAUGUAUACUUUAUCUCCCACCUAUGAGCUCCAGAUAUUAAAGCCUUAUUAGAGUAGGGUGAGAGAGAAGGCAAUGUCACUAUGCCUUAUACCACAAAUACCACAUAUUUUGAGAGAAGGCAUAUACCAUCACUGCCUUGGUAAGGAUCCAGAAAUACGACAAAAGAGAGAUAUGAGAGAGUCAUACAAGGAAUCUCUGAGUUUUAUUUGAAAAUCUGCAAAAACUCCAGAGCUAUAGCUGAUCAAGAAUAAGAGACAUGGCACUUGGCUAGACUGUUCUAUCUUUUAACUACUCAAGACAGAAGUGACGGUUACAAGUCCCAUGGUGAAAGGUAAAGUAAGUAAGUUUUAAGUCUUGACAGUUUACUCUAACUCAGAGAUGAGACCUCAUUUAAAAGCAUGUGUACCGUCAAUUUUUAAAGAUAUUGCAACAACUUAUGAUCCACUAGCUGAUUCUAUCCUUGCUCAGGGACGAGCAAGAGGUAAGCUUGGGGGAGUUUGUUGACGGUCCUUAAGUAUCAAAUUUAACUAUCAAAUAAACAAAGAAAAGGAUCCAAAUGAAAUCAACAUCGAGACUUAGGGUUUUAUCUGACAGAAUUCCACGAGUUUUGGUGUUUGUCUAUUUCUGCAGGGGGUUAUCAGGAAAUAAGGAAGAAAGGCCCACACGUCGGGAUUACAUAAAGAUAUCAACGUGCCGCGCAAUUAUCUUACAUCUAGAAGACUCCAGAAGCCACGGGAAGGAAGCGGAGACCGAACGGAGUCAGGGACAGGGCGCCCGCCCAAGUCCUUAGGGCGCCCGCCCACCUUUUUCGGCCAAUCACGCUCAAUCUCGAGGAUUAUGCUCCACCGACCUAAAGGAUCAAGAAUAACCGUUCAAUCAAUGUCGGUUUGAUCCGACGGCCCAGGUUCACUUGAGGGGACUAUAAAACUAGACCCCCUGGCCCCUGGAGGAGGAACCCCUUGAUCAUUAUUCAUUAUUCAUAGACAGAGCAAAAGCUAGGGUUUAGAGAUGAGAGCUCUCCUCUCUUCUCUAAACUAGAGUAGAUCUAGAUAGUAGCGAGAUGGAGAGCGAAGGAGGAUUAGAGGAGAGUCCGGCCUGUCGGUUCUUCCUCCGGUUGUACUUCACCAUGAUCAAGCUCUAAUCAAGCUUGCUCAUGGGAUGACUCUGGUAAUCUAC